rnacentral:rRNA from 1 species
AUGCAGUCGAACGGCAGCAUCGGUACUUCGGUCUGGUGGCGAGUGGCGAACGGGUGAGUAAUGCAUCGGAACGUGCCCAACUGUGGGGGAUAGCUCGGCGAAAGCCGGAUUAAUACCGCAUACGAUCUACGGAUGAAAGCGGGGGACCUUCGGGCCUCGCGCAGUUGGAGCGGCCGAUGUUAGAUUAGGUAGUUGGUGGGGUAAAGGCUCACCAAGCCGACGAUCUAUAGCUGGUCUGAGAGGACGACCAGCCACACUGGGACUGAGACACGGCCCAGACUCCUACGGGAGGCAGCAGUGGGGAAUUUUGGACAAUGGGCGCAAGCCUGAUCCAGCAAUACCGCGUGCAGGAAGAAGGCCUUCGGGUUGUAAACUGCUUUUGUACGGAACGAAAAGGUCUGGGUUAAUACCCUGGGCUCAUGACGGUACCGUAAGAAUAAGCACCGGCUAACUACGUGCCAGCAGCCGCGGUAAUACGUAGGGUGCAAGCGUUAAUCGGAAUUACUGGGCGUAAAGCGUGCGCAGGCGGUUAUGUAAGACAGGCGUGAAAUCCCCGGGCUCAACCUGGGAAUUGCGCUUGUGACUGCAUAACUAGAGUACGGUAGAGGGGGAUGGAAUUCCGCGUGUAGCAGUGAAAUGCGUAGAUAUGCGGAGGAACACCAAUGGCGAAGGCAGUCCCCUGGACCUGUACUGACGCUCAUGCACGAAAGCGUGGGGAGCAAACAGGAUUAGAUACCCUGGUAGAAGGGCG